UACGUAGGGGGCAAGCGUUGUCCGGAUUUAUUGGGCGUAAAGAGCGCGUAGGCGGCCUUGCAGGUCUGCUGUGAAAACUCGAGGCUCAACCUCGAGAUGUCGGCGGAAACCGUCUGGCUAGAGUCCGGAAGAGGAGAGUGGAAUUCCUGGUGUAGCGGUGAAAUGCGCAGAUAUCAGGAAGAACACCUAUGGCGAAGGCAGCUCUCUGGGACGGUACUGACGCUGAGACACGAAAGCGUGGGGAGCGAACAGG
rnacentral:rRNA from 1 species